UUGGCUAUUGUGAAUAAUGCUACCAUGGACAUGGUGGUACAUAUAUCUUUUUAAAUCCAUGCUUUCAGCUCUUUUGAAUUAAUGGAUCACUUGGUAAUUCUUUUUUAAAUAUUGUGAGGACCCUUUAUAUUGUUUUCCAUAGUGACUGCACCAUUUUACAUUUCUACCAGCAAUGCAUUAGAGUUCCAAUUUUUCCACAUUCUCAUCAACAUUUGCUGUUUUCUGCUUAUUGGUAGUGGCUGUUCUAAUGGGUAAGAGGUUAAGCCUAUAUUUUGAAAUAAACGUUAAUGUAUAAUAAUUGUAUUAUUAAUUGGUAUUCAUAUUUAGAUUAUUUUCCCUGGAUUCUUAGUAUUCAAAUACAAAGUAACUUGAGGAUCCAAUUUUGCUAAUACUUUUUUCCAAGACACUUUUUCUCUCUUUUUUCUUUCAGAGUUUGAAACAAUAUCAACAUGUCUAUAUUGGAGCUUUCUUUAUUUGAUACACUAUCCAGAAAUUCAAGCCAAAAUUCAAGAAGAAAUUGAUGGAAACAUUGGGAUGAAAUCAACCAGGUUUGAAGACAGGAAAAUUUUACCCUCCACAGAAACUUUCAUAAAUGAAAUAUUCAGACAUGCCUCCUUUCUUCCUUUUACUGUUCUUCAUUGCGAAGGAGGGGGAAUGUCUCUCACGCCAUGUGGUAAUCGGCAGAGCAGAAUGCAGUGCCUCAGCCCAGAUAAUAGGAAGGAUGAAAUCUUAAUACAGAUUCAUUCAGGGUAAAUCGAAUUUCAAAAGUGGGCUCACUGGGGGAGUUGUGAGCGAAGGACUUCGUGGGCUCACCCUCUGCAUGUGUAUGACCAGCUGAUAUUUGAAAAGCAGCCUGAAACCCCCCACUGGAGUAACUAUUUGGGAUAAUCCCAAUUUAUUUAGACCUGAGAGAUUUCUAUAUGAAAACAUGGAACUGAAUAGAACUUUGUUGAGAAGGUGUUGACUUUUGGAAUGGGAAUCCGGAAGUGUCUCAGAGAAGAUGCUGCACGAAAUGAGAUAUUCAUUUUCUUCACCACAGUUCUGCAGCAGCUCAAGCUGGAGAAGUGCCCAGAAGCCGAGCUUGACCUGACACCCAUGUAUGGCUUAGCCAUGAAGCCAACACCAUACCAACUUCAAGUAGAGACCCGCUGCACAGAAUUCUACUUUUCGCUGAAAGAGUCGGUACUGAAAAAACAGGAUGUUCUAUCAACUCACAUUCCUAGAAUUCCUUUUUGGUCAGAAGUGAGCUGCUAGAAGGAGAUACUCAAAAUGAAAAACAUCUUGUCAUGAGGAACCUGGGAAACAACUCAACAUGAAGGAAAAUAGAAUCUAGAGGUGGAGACAUAGCACAUUCUACAGGAUAAAACCUCAACAAACCCCUUACUGUAGAGAGAGACAGUAAUGGUCAAGGCCACCCACCUCGCACUGUGCUGGUAUUAGGAACAAGAAGAGUAGCUGGGAACUCUGGAUCACAUGCUUCCCCUGCACUUGGGCAUGGUUAGCAAGUCACUUUUCAGCCCAGUGAUAAUCAACACCAGCCUGGAGCUAAAAGUGCGCCACCUGAAAAAACAGCUUUUUGUUGAUGCCAAAUCUAUCCAUCCAGGGCACUCCCAGCUCUUCAACUUCAAAAGAGACAAGUAAACUCAGGUGAAAAAC